UGCUCAUAGAUAGCAGCUGAUCGAUGCAUCUAGCUGACAACUCUAAUUAGCUUUCAUCUAGCUGUCAUGCACUUGUCAUGCACCUGUCAAAUCGAGCUUAAUUUUUUCCACCCGCGUUUCCGUUUUGGCCCUUCUCUCAUUCUCUUGAGAUCUGUGCCCAGCGAAACAUCGUGAUUACGAUAUCACAUAAAAAUAUAUAUAUAUAUAAAACGGCACGUGCAGAAAAAUUCGUUCCAACCUCGCCGAACUUCUAAGUGUGCUUUUUCACACAAAGGCAUUGGAAUUCAAAAUAAAGGAGAUCUUCUGGAAACCAAUAUUUUUGUGUUUUGUGUUUCGAAAUACUCCGGUUUUCUAGCCGGAUUAUCCGAGCCAUCCCGCUCCCGAUCGGGCAGCGACACCUUUUAUUGAGAGCCAGUAAAACACCAAUUAAGUGGCGGCGGCAGCGAUCAACGUUUUCCGCCCAUUCCGCCUUCUGGCCGGCCACGGCCGCUGGCCCACCUUUCGCCGUUUACAUAUAUAUUUGGAGGCUAAAGGAGACACUAGAGACACCAAGAAGGAGGUCGUUUCUUUAGGGGAUCUACCCUUCAGCUUUUCACCAGCUAUAUCGGCGGGCCCCAAAAAGGGCGCUGCGCCAUAUAUUUCUGUGCACUUAACCAACUGCAGGAUCAUUUGUAUCGCCUGCGUUACAUUAUUUUGUUAAUUUUAGUUUAUAUUUCUUUUAAAGAGAAUUUGUACUUAUAUCUGAAUUUGUUUUCAUGUGCUGCUGACGAGUUUGGUUUUUCAUAUAUGACUUUAAUUUCCACAUUUAUCAGCCAAGGUCACCGUGAGGUCAACGGGCCCGUCGACAUCGAGGGACUGGGUCGUAAGUACGGCAUAGCCGACAUAUAAAAAUUUAUGAGAAGCCAAGACCAGCACACAGGUUCUUCAGAUCGCUCUGAAUAGCGAUUUUUUGUUCUUUCUUUGUUAAAUAUUAGGAUCUAAGUAUGAAAACGACUCUUUUUGAAUUUUUAUAUACCAUUAUAGAAUUAAUUGCACAUUAUAUUUUGAGUAUAAACUUUAUGAAAUUAUAACGAAAUUGAAAUCAUGAA